AAAUUGGGGGGGGCAUGUUUUGACCUUCAUGGUAAAGGGCAUCACAGACUACCAGGAGAAGAAGAAGAAGGCAAUUAAUGGCUGCCUCUUCGCCCUGAUGAUAAUCUACUUUCAUCUUUCAAAAAAUAAAGGCAAGAACAGGGCUGAAAGACCACCAAAGCCCUGGAUUGCCAACUGGACUAAGGAGCAGUUGGUGGAAAGAAUGACUGCAGAAAGAGAGGAAAUUUUGGGGAUUGUGAAGAUGGUAGAGACAAGAGAAAAAAUGAAAAAAAAAAGAAAAAAAAGAAAAAAAAACAAGAAAUCAAAAAAACAAAAAAAAGGAAGGCGAGUCCAACAUCGUCUUCGGAGACAGAAACUACUGACAGUGCACUUCUACCUCUGAGUCUGAGGCUCAAGAAAACUCAGAGGAUUCAGGAAGAAAACACCCCAGCAAAAAGGGGAAAAAAAUGGACUCCAGAAAAAGAAAGCAGAGGCAAGAGGAGUCAGAUUCUGAUUCAGAAUCUGAAUCUGAACCAAGUGAUGAGAGCGAAGAAUCAUCACCUGCGGAGAAGGAGAAGAAAAAGAAAAAAACAAAAACAACACCAAAAAAAACACACAAAAAAAAAAGAAAAAAGUUGUUGUGGAGGAUUCACCUCCUGAAGAAGAUCAAUACUUUGACGGUGAGAGAUAUGAAAUAUCAAGUGACGAACUCGAUGAAUGGCUAAGGGAAAACGUUGAUAAAUCUGCUGCAGAGGGGGAGAAUCAAGCUGACCUGCGAUCGACAGAAGGUCGCUAUGUGUCCUCUGAAAC